GUCCUGGCCUUAAACGAUGGAUGCUUGGUGUCUGGGGUUUAUAGUCCCCGGGUGCCGUAGCUAACGCGUUAAGCAUCCCGCCUGGGGAGUACGGUCGCAAGACUGAAACUCAAAGGAAUUGACGGGGACCCGCACAAGCGGUGGAGCAUGUGGUUCAAUUCGACGCAACGCGAAGAACCUUACCAGGGCUAGAAUGCCUCUGACAACCCCAGAGAUGGGGCCUCUUAGGGAAACCUAGGCAGAGUGCAAGGUGCUGCAUGGCUGUCGU
rnacentral:rRNA from 1 species